rnacentral:rRNA from 1 species
AACGAACGCUGGCGGCAUGCCUAACACAUGCCAGUCGAACGAGACCUUCGGGUCUAGUGGCGCACGGGUGCGUAACGCGUGGGAACCUGCCCUUAGGUUCGGAAUAACUCCCCGAAAGGGGUGCUAAUACCGGAUAAUGUCUUCGGACCAAAGAUUUAUCGCCUUUGGAUGGGCCCGCGUUGGAUUAGCUAGUUGGUAGGGUAAAAGCCUACCAAGGCGACGAUCCAUAGCUGGUCUGAGAGGAUGAUCAGCCACACUGGGACUGAGACACGGCCCAGACUCCUACGGGAGGCAGCAGUGGGGAAUAUUGGACAAUGGGCGAAAGCCUGAUCCAGCAAUGCCGGGUGAGUGAUGAAGGCCUUAGGGUUGUAAAGCUCUUUUACCCGGGAUGAUAAUGACAGUACCGGGAGAAUAAGCACCGGCUAACUCCGUG